rnacentral:lncRNA from 1 species
CACUUGUGGAAGAAGCUGUGGGAGUUUUAUCCGUCGGCAGAACUUGAGAACAUGGUGGAAGCUCAGCCGCCGGAGAGGUUCGAAAAGAUGUCGCCCAAGGUCGGACGCCGGUAGAGUCCCGAGAGGGUCACUUUCGAUACGAACUUUGGCUGGGGGGUAUUUUAUACCCAACAAGUAUAUAUUUUGAUACUAAUGGAUUGUUGAAAUUCAAAUCUAGAAUG